AGAGUAAUAUUUUAAUAAAAUAUUUAUUUUGCAUAUAAAAGUUAUAGUUUUCUAUUUACUUUA
rnacentral:tRNA from 1 species